GUAAUGUAUGCCAUUUAUUUUUUAUUUUUAACUAGGCAAGUCAUUUAGCAGACGCUUUUAUCCAAAGCGAUUUACAGUCAUGCGUGCAUACAUUUUACAUAUGGAUGGUCCCGGGAAUCGAACCCACUACCCAUGAUCUACAACAUCAACACUGGGACAUAGUGGCCUUCGCUCCCGCUUGACAUACACUACCGUCCGGUAACGGCGUGGGAAGUAGCCAAUAUCAGGGUGACAGUCACACUUCAAUCUCCUCUUGGCCAGUGCCCCUGGGCCUCCUUCAUCAUCUGAACAUGGCUCCUGAUACACUGCUCCAACUCCCUGUCUCUGGCCACCCUGAGGUCACAAUGGUCAAGGGUCAAAUGAACUACCAAUCCACAAACUAAAGAUUACCUUAGUUAUAUUUUUUGGUCUUGUACUAGAAUAAUAACACUCUGGAAUUAUGUUUUUGACUUUGUAAAUAAUGUAUUUAAAUGCUGUUUCCACUACCUCUAUAAAGAAUUGCUGUGCUUUAAACCUAUGCUUGAAAAAUAAUACAAAUCUAAGUAUAGAAAUGUGUAUAUACAGCUAUGGGUUGCUUUGAGUGACAGGGCAUCACUAUACCCUGGUUCUGUUGAGUGACAGGGCAUCUCUAUACCCUGGUUCUGUUGAGUGACAGGGCAUCACUAUACCCUGGUUCUGGUACGUUGUGAUUUGUACUGAAGUAGGGGGAGUGGGACCUAAUGUUCAUCAUGAUGUUACAUUUGCUAAUGUACUAGUCUGCUGCUGUGUUUGUAUGUUUCUGACUGUGUGUGUGCUAGCGUUUUGUGGAAUGGUGUGUUUACCUGCUGUGGGGGGGGCCUCCCUGGCGACAUCUGACUGCAGGAUGACUGACAGUGCUCCAUCGCUAGCUAGGCCUGUCGCUAUCUCCAACCUGGACAGCUUCAGCUUAGUGUCUGCACAGCCUGCACAGCCAUCUUUUUCAACGUCUGCUCACCCAGAAUGGAAACAAGGACUCAAGUCAGUCUCUUUCUGUCCACUUCUCUGAGGCAGUUUCCUUAGGACAAGAACAGAACUGAAAGCAUUCUUCUAAUUCUAAUUUUCUCUUUCCAAUGACUGUGAAACCCUUUCCUCAGGCUGGCGUUAUGUUGACCUCUUCUGGUUGAGAAGUGCACUUCAGGUAUGUGAAAAAAAUUGUGGAUUACAAAAUUAGAAGGUAGUGAAAGCAGACAUACAGAACAGUCAUACCUCCCCUCUCAUAUGUCGCUCACACCUUUCUUGCUUGUGCUCUAAGAUGUUCCUCUCCUGCAUGAUCCUAGCAUGAGUACGCCAUUUCUUGAGGAGCUCUUGAUCUCUAAGUGACAAAGAAAGGCAGGGGUCAUACAAAGCACAUUGAGGAUUCAAGUACCCUAUAAACACUGAUCUAAGUUCAGUUUAAUUUUGUUUAGGUUAUGAUUGGGGAUAAGCUGCUCUUAGAUCUUGCUGCAUUUCUUUACCUACCCCUUAUUGGCAUUGUCAUUGGCUUUUUACGGCACAUAAUAUUGAUCCCUCCCUUUCUGGGAUUUCAUCAAUUUGGCACAAUACACCCCUGCUUUCUGAAACUGCAAGGAGAGUGAAAGUUCUCUCUCACCCGUGGUAUUACAUAGUUGGCAGGCAACUAUAUACUGUAUGUCAGUGGAGUCUGGUGGGAAGAACUGUAGGAGGACGGGCUCAUUGUAAUGACUGGAAUGGAAUAAAUGGAACGAUAUCAAACACAUCAAACAUAUGGAAACCACUUGUUUGACUGUGUUCCAUUUACACCAUUCCAGCCAUUACAAUGAGCCCAUCCUCCUAUACCUCCUUCCACCAGCCUCAACUGCUGUAAGUAAUUCACAUGAUUUGAAAGGCCACAAAAGCAGUAGGGAGUCAAAGGAGGUAUACUGAUGUGAGAUACUUCUGCUUGGGUUCUGUAAAAUCAAACAGUAAUAACUUACUUCCUACUUUGUUCAUUGCAGCCAGUCUUCUCUCCUCUGACCUCUUCCAGUACUGCAUGUCAAACGGAGGGACCUCUGGAAAUAUAUUUCCACUGGUAAUCUCUUUCUUUCUGACAAAUAAAUGAAUCGAAAGAAAAUGUUUUAUUUUUAUUGCUCUCAGAAGGACCGUGUCCCUGCAGAGCCUGGGCGAAUUUAUCGCUAGGCCUUCUCCUCAAAGACUGUCAUAAAAAUACUCGUACACUGUCCAUGCUGUAUUUUCCAUCUCAAUAGCCUAUUAGUCUAGAAUGGCUCCCUCUCAUUGUCUCCUUUCCUAAACUGCAUUGAAUUCCACAGAGAAGGCAUCCAACAUAUUGCUUUCACCUAUCAUUGCUUUCCUCGUAACCCAUACUGACCACUGCACUGAGCAUAGUGUUCAAUCUGGUUAACCAGUUCAGGAGAGGACACUGAGUCCUCCCCCUAGAUCUGCAGUUACCAG
rnacentral:lncRNA from 1 species